UUGAACGCUGGCGGCAGGCCUAACACAUGCAAGUCGCGCGGAUGAAGGGAGCUUGCUCCUGGAUUCAGCGGCGGACGGGUGAGUAAUGCCUAGGAAUCUGCCUGGUAGUGGGGGAUAACGUCCGGAAACGGGCGCUAAUACCGCAUACGUCCUGAGGGAGAAAGUGGGGGAUCUUCGGACCUCACGCUAUCAGAUGAGCCUAGGUCGGAUUAGCUAGUUGGUGGGGUAAAGGCCUACCAAGGCGACGAUCCGUAACUGGUCUGAGAGGAUGACCAGUCACACUGGAACUGAGACACGGUCCAGACUCCUACGGGAGGCAGCAGUGGGGAAUAUUGGACAAUGGGCGAAAGCCUGAUCCAGCCAUGCCGCGUGUGUGAAGAAGGUCUUCGGAUUGUAAAGCACUUUAAGUUGGGAGGAAGGGCAGUAAGUUAAUACCUUGCUGUUUUGACGUUACCAACAGAAUAAGCACCGGCUAACUUCGUG
rnacentral:rRNA from 1 species